GUGAGCUAUUUAAGUGAUUGCAAAUAUGUUCUACAGAUAAGGGACUUGGAAACAGGUCUAUUUCAACAUCCCAUACCGCUAGACAUAGUUACCGUUUACAGGAUUUCUGGAUCCCAUCCUAUGUCUAACAAUAGACCCCUUCUGUAGAACAUCUUCAUUUCUGGAACCUCACCGCUAGACAUAGGUGCAACUUAGCAACUGAGGUUCCAGAAAUGAAGAUAUUCUGUGAGAUUUUUAUAUCUAGAUUUGAUCGCACAAAGUUCUAGGUUAAUCAGGUAAGCUUAUUGUAAAACAAAAAAUAUAUGUUUUGUGCUGCAAACCUAAAGGCUUUCUUACUGUUAUGGUAUCUGUCUUUCAGAUAUACUCUUCUCGCAAUGAGCCGUAUAUGCUUUUCAAGGUAUUUUACUAAGUGAACAAAAGAUCCUCCAUAAUCAUUUAAAUCCCAUGGUUGUGUGGUUUUGAUGUUGAUUUGUUUAUUUAGGACACUUGUAAUAGUUCACAGACUGUUAUGCCUACUAUUGCUCUUGCAGUAGUUGGAGAUCGGAGGAUAUCUUUAGGUCCUGGAGCAGGUUGUGCCGGCCUUGCUAUAUAGCUAGAACUAGGAUAUCGCCAAGCAUGUCUUGCAGCCAACAGGCCAGAGUUACCUGUUGAGGUUGCAGGGCCUGCUGCGCAUAGUUCGAAUGGAGAAUGCUGGUAGAGGCAAUGAUGAUGUUGACCUGGAAGCAGCAGAAGAUGGACAUGCAGUGUUAUCUCAGGGCCCGCCAAGCACGACGGCAUCGAUGAUGAUGGGCGCGACCAUGACUUUAUAUUAUUUGUGGAACCUAAUGUUGUGCAACAGUUUGAUUGAGUUAAACUUUAAAUAGACUGUUGUUAACUGUUUUGUUGGUAUUGUGGCUUUCAUGAUUGAUUGUUUCAUGAGUGGAUUGAAUAAA